rnacentral:lncRNA from 1 species
AGGAAGCAGAAGGUGGCCUGUCUUAGGCCAGUGAGCAGCCAGCACAUGUGACAGGCUUGGGCUGAAGCAGGCAUGGGAAAGAGGCAGGGAGAUUCUAAUGAAGUCAUCAGAGGUCACGGGCUGGCAGGAACAAUGGCUAAGGUGACCCACAUUCCCUGCAGGUGACCCCAUUUCCCAUCAGGUGUCUCGUCGUCUUGUUCUCUCUGGUGUCUCUGGACCUGUGAUGGCUAGCCGGUCCAGCUCUGCUUCUGGUUAGACACUCACCACCUUCAGAGGGAACUUUUCCUAAGGCAACAAUGGUAAAGUUGGGGCUCAUCCCAGUA